rnacentral:rRNA from 1 species
UACGUAGGGGGCAAGCGUUGUCCGGAAUUAUUGGGCGUAAAGAGCUCGUAGGCGGUCUGUCGCGUCUGCUGUGAAAACUCAGGGCUUAACCCUGAGCUUGCAGUGGGUACGGGCAGACUAGAGUGCGGUAGGGGAGACUGGAAUUCCUGGUGUAGCGGUGAAAUGCGCAGAUAUCAGGAGGAACACCGGUGGCGAAGGCGGUUCUCUGGGCAGUACCUGACGCUGAGGAGCGAAAGUGUGGGGAGCGAACAGG